AACGAACGCUGGCGGCAUGCUUAACACAUGCAAGUCGAACGUGAUCCUCUCCUUCGGGAGAGGUGAAAGUGGCGGACGGGUGAGUAACGCGUGGGAACCUGCCUUGUGGUUCGGAAUAACCGCGGGAAACUGCGGCUAAUACCGGAUAAGCCCUAACGGGGAAAGAUUUAUCGCCAUAAGAGGGGCCCGCGUCCGAUUAGGUAGUUGGUGGGGUAACGGCCUACCAAGCCUGCGAUCGGUAGCUGGUCUGAGAGGAUGAUCAGCCACACUGGGACUGAGAUACGGCCCAGACUCCUACGGGAGGCAGCAGUGGGGAAUAUUGGACAAUGGGGGAAACCCUGAUCCAGCAAUGCCGCGUGAGUGAAGAAGGCCUUAGGGUUGUAAAGCUCUUUCGCCCGCGACGAUGAUGACGGUAGCGGGAGAAGAAGCCCCGGCUAACUCCGUGCCCAGCCAGCCGCGGUAAUACGGAGGGGGCUAGGCGUUGUUCGGAAUUACUGGGCGUAAAGGGCGCGUAGGCGGCGAUUC
rnacentral:rRNA from 1 species